UGAAUACGAGACGCUAAGGCGUCGAAGUAGUGUAUGUCAUACUUCCAAGAAAAGCUUGCACUGUCAUAGAUAAAAAACGCCUGUACCAUAACCGACACAGGUGGGUAGGUAGAGUAUACUAAGGGGCGCGAGAUAACUCUCUCUAAGGAACUCGGCAAAAUAACUCCGUAACUUCGGGAGAAGGAGUGCCUUAUUCGUAAGGUUGCAAUAACAAGAUCCAAGCAACUGUUUAUCAAAAACACAGGUCUCCGCUAAGUCGUAAGACGAUGUAUGGGGGCUGACGCCUGCCCAGUGCCAGAAGGUUAAAGAAGUUGGUUAGCAAUUGCGAAGCUGAUAACUGAAGCCCUGGUGAACGGCGGCCGUAACAAUAACGGUCCUAAGGUAGCGAAAUUCCUUGUCGGGUAAGUUCCGACCCGCACGAAAGGCGUAAUGAUUUGGAUACUGUCUCGGAGAGGGGCUCGGUGAAAUAGACUUGUCUGUGAAGGUGCGGACUACCUGCACCAGGACAGAAAGACCCUAUGAAGCUUUACUGUAACUUGAAAUUGAAAUUGGACUUUAUUCGCGCAGUAUAGGUGGGAGGCGUUGAUUAUAAUCUUGUGGGAUUAUUGGAGCCAUCAGUGAGAUACCACUCUUGUAAUGUUAGAUUUCUAACUUUGAAUCAUUAUCUGGUCAAAGAACAGUUUCAGGCGGGCAGUUUGACUGGGGCGGUCGCCUCCUAAACGGUAACGGAGGCGUACAAAGGUUUCCUCUGAACGGUUAGAAAUCGUAUCUAGAGUGUAAAGGCAUAAGGAAGCUUGACUGUGAGACCUACAAGUCGAGCAGGGACGAAAGUCGGUCUUAGUGAUCUGACGGUACUGAGUGGAAAGGCCGUCACUCAACGGAUAAAAGUUACUCUAAGGAUAACAGGCUGAUCUCCCCCAAGAGUUCACAUCGACGGGGAGGUUUGGCACCUCGAUGUCGGCUCAUCGCAUCCUGGGGCGGUAGUACGUCCCAAGGGUUGGGCUGUUCGCCCAUGAAAGCGGUACGCGAGCUGGGUUCAGAACGUCGUGAGACAGUUCGGUCCAUAUCCGGUGUAGGCGUUAGAAUAUUGAGAGGAGCCUUCUUUAGUACGAGAGGACCGAGAAGGACAUACCUCUGGUGUACUAGUUAUCGUGCCAACGGUAAACGCUGGGUAGCUAUGUAUGGAGUGGAUAACCGCUGAAAGCAUCUAAGUGGGAAGCCCACCUCAAGAUAAGUAUUCUCACC
rnacentral:rRNA from 1 species